rnacentral:rRNA from 1 species
AUUGAACGCUGGCGGCAGGCUUAACACAUGCAAGUCGAGCGAGUGGCGGACGGGUGAGUAAUGUCUGGGAAACUGCCUGAUGGAGGGGGAUAACUACUGGAAACGGUAGCUAAUACCGCAUACCAUCAGAUGUGCCCAGAUGGGAUUAGCUAGUGGGUGGGGUAAAGGCCCACCUAGGCGACGAUCCCUAGCUGGUCUGAGAGGAUGACCAGCCACACUGGAACUGAGACACGGGCCCGACUCCUACGGGAGGCAGCAGUGGGGAAUAUUGCACAAUGGGCGCAAGCCUGAUGCAGCCAUGCCGCGUGUAUGAAGAAGGCCUUCGGGUUGUAAAGGACUUGCAGCGGGGAGGCGUUACUCGCAGAAGAAGCACCGGCUAACUCCGUGCCAGCAGCCGCGGUAAUAC